UUAAAAGUUUCCCUUUUAUUAUUUCCGGGAGCGUGGAUAUUUGAGCGCUGGGCGUGUCCUCAAGGUGAUCUGACAAAUAACUGGCUCGUGCUCGAGCAGGUCACAGACGGGUAUAAAAGCACCUGUCAGCGACUAGUGAUGGCAAAAGGUGUCGUGCUGCAGGAGGGUCAGAGGUCAUGUGGUCCGCAGUGAAACUCGCGCUCAGCUGCUUGCUGUUGUUGCCUUAUGAACUUGAGGCGAAAUCUCUAAUAAAUCUCCUGCAACAGGAAGGUAAACCGCUCAAAUUCUUUGGUAAAGGCUCUGAAAAAU